ACCAGCGGAGGGAUCAUUACCGAGUUUACAACUCCCAAACCCAAUGUGAACGUUACCAAACUGUUGCCUCGGCGGGAUCUCUGCCCCGGGUGCGUCGCAGCCCCGGACCAAGGCGCCCGCCGGAGGACCAACCAAAACUCUUUUUGUAUACCCCCUCGCGGGUUUUUUAUAAUCUGAGCCUUCUCGGCGCCUCUCGUAGGCGUUUCGAAAAUGAAUCAAAACUUUCAACAACGGAUCUCUUGGUUCUGGCAUCGAUGAAGAACGCAGCGAAAUGCGAUAAGUAAUGUGAAUUGCAGAAUUCAGUGAAUCAUCGAAUCUUUGAACGCACAUUGCGCCCGCCAGUAUUCUGGCGGGCAUGCCUGUCCGAGCGUCAUUUCAACCCUCGAACCCCUCCGGGGGGUCGGCGUUGGGGAUCGGCCCUCCCUUAGCGGGUGGCCGUCUCCGAAAUACAGUGGCGGUCUCGCCGCAGCCUCUCCUGCGCAGUAGUUUGCACACUCGCAUCGGGAGCGCGGCGCGUCCACAGCCGUUAAACACCCAACUUCUGAAAUGUUGACCUCGGAUCAGGUAGGAAUACCCGCUGAACUUAAGCAUAUCAAUAA
rnacentral:rRNA from 1 species